GAUGAACGCUGGCGGCGUGCCUAAUACAUGCAAGUCGAGCGAACGGACGCGAAGCUUGCUUUUCUGAUGUUAGCGGCGGACGGGUGAGUAACACGUGGAUAACCUACCUAUAAGACUGGGUUAACUUCGGGAAACCGGAGCUAAUACCGGAUUAUAUUUUGUACCGCAUGGUUCAAAAGUGAAAGACGGUCUUGCUGUCACUUAUAGAUGGGUCCGCGCUGCAUUAGCUAGUUGGUAAGGUAACGGCUGACCAAGGCAACGAUGCAUAGCCGACCUGAGAGGGGGAUGGGCCACACUGGAACUGAGACGCGGUCCAGACUCCUACGGGAGGCAGCAGUAGGGAAUCUUCCGCAAUGGGCGAAAGCCUGACGGAGCAACGCCGCGUGAGUGAUGAAGGUCUUCGGAUCGUAGAACUCUGUUAUUAGGGAAGAACAUAUGUGUAAGUAACGUUGCACAUCUGGACGUUACCUAAUCAGAAAGCCACGGCUAACUACGUG
rnacentral:rRNA from 1 species